GCCUACGGGGCGCAGCAGUGGGGAAUAUUGGGCAAUGGGCGCAAGCCUGACCCAGCAACGCCGCGUGAAGGAAGAAGGCCCUCGGGUUGUAAACUUCUUUUAUCAAGGACGAGACAAAUGACGGUACUUGAUGAAUAAGCCACGGCUAACUACGUGCCAGCAGCCGCGGUAAUACGUAGGUGGCAAGCGUUAUCCGGAUUUACUGGGUGUAAAGGGCGUGUAGGCGGGACUGCAAGUCAGAUGUGAAAACCACGGGCUCAACCCAUGGCCUGCAUUUGAAACUGUAGUUCUUGAGUGUUGGAGAG
rnacentral:rRNA from 1 species